rnacentral:rRNA from 1 species
UGACUGCGUACCUUUUGUAUAAUGGGUCAGCGACUUAUAUUCUGUAGCAAGGUUAACCGAAUAGGGGAGCCGUAGGGAAACCGAGUCUUAACCGGGCGUUAAGUUGCAGGGUAUAGACCCGAAACCCGGUGAUCUAGCCAUGGGCAGGUUGAAGGUUGGGUAACACUAACUGGAGGACCGAACCGACUAAUGUUGAAAAAUUAGCGGAUGACCUGUGGCUGGGGGUGAAAGGCCAAUCAAACCGGGAGAUAGCUGGUUCUCCCCGAAAGCUAUUUAGGUAGCGCCUCGUGAAUUCAUCUCCGGGGGUAGAGCACUGUUUCGGCUAGGGGGCCAUCCCGGCUUACCAACCCGAUGCAAACUGCGAAUACCGGAGAAUGUUAUCACGGGAGACACACGGCGGGUGCUAACGUCCGUCGUGAAGAGGGAAACAACCCAGACCGCCAGCUAAGGUCCCAAAGUCAUGGUUAAGUGGGAAACGAUGUGGGAAGGCCCAGACAGCCAGGAUGUUGGCUUAGAAGCAGCCAUCAUUUAAAGAAAGCGUAAUAGCUCACUGGUCGAGUCGGCCUGCGCGGAAGAUGUAACGGGGCUAAACCAUGCACCGAAGCUGCGGCAGCGACGCUGAUGCGUUGUUGGGUAGGGGAGCGUUCUGUAAGCCUGCGAAGGUGGCCUGUGAGGGUUGCUGGAGGUAUCAGAAGUGCGAAUGCUGACAUAAGUAACGAUAAAGCGGGUGAAAAGCCCGCUCGCCGGAAGACCAAGGGUUCCUGUCCAACGUUAAUCGGGGCAGGGUGAGUCGACCCCUAAGGCGAGGCCGAAAGGCGUAGUCGAUGGGAAACGGGUUAAUAUUCCCGUACUUGGUGUUACUGCGAAGGGGGGACGGAGAAGGCUAUGUUGGCCGGGCGACGGUUGUCCCGGUUUAAGCGUGUAGGUGUGUGUUCCAGGUAAAUCCGGUUCACUUUAACACUGAGGCGUGAUGACGAGGCACUACGGUGCUGAAGCAACAAAUGCCCUGCUUCCAGGAAAAGCCUCUAAGCAUCAGGUAACAUCAAAUCGUACCCCAAACCGACACAGGUGGUCAGGUAGAGAAUACCAAGGCGCUUGAGAGAACUCGGGUGAAGGAACUAGGCAAAAUGGUGCCGUAACUUCGGGAGAAGGCACGCUGACACGUAGGUGAAGUGAUUUACUCAUGGAGCUGAAGUCAGUCGAAGAUACCAGCUGGCUGCAACUGUUUAUUAAAAACACAGCACUGUGCAAACACGAAAGUGGACGUAUACGGUGUGACGCCUGCCCGGUGCCGGAAGGUUAAUUGAUGGGGUCAGCGCAAGCGAAGCUCCUGAUCGAAGCCCCGGUAAACGGCGGCCGUAACUAUAACGGUCCUAAGGUAGCGAAAUUCCUUGUCGGGUAAGUUCCGACCUGCACGAAUGGCGUAAUGAUGGCCAGGCUGUCUCCACCCGAGACUCAGUGAAAUUGAACUCGCUGUGAAGAUGCAGUGUACCCGCGGCAAGACGGAAAGACCCCGUGAACCUUUACUAUAGCUUGACACUGAACAUUGAGCCUUGAUGUGUAGGAUAGGUGGGAGGCUUUGAAGUGUGGACGCCAGUCUGCAUGGAGCCGACCUUGAAAUACCACCCUUUAAUGUUUGAUGUUCUAACGUGGACCCGUGAUCCGGGUUGCGGACAGUGUCUGGUGGGUAGUUUGACUGGGGCGGUCUCCUCCUAAAGAGUAACGGAGGAGCACGAAGGUUGGCUAAUCCUGGUCGGACAUCAGGAGGUUAGUGCAAUGGCAUAAGCCAGCUUGACUGCGAGCGUGACGGCGCGAGCAGGUGCGAAAGCAGGUCAUAGUGAUCCGGUGGUUCUGAAUGGAAGGGCCAUCGCUCAACGGAUAAAAGGUACUCCGGGGAUAACAGGCUGAUACCGCCCAAGAGUUCAUAUCGACGGCGGUGUUUGGCACCUCGAUGUCGGCUCAUCACAUCCUGGGGCUGAAGUAGGUCCCAAGGGUAUGGCUGUUCGCCAUUUAAAGUGGUACGCGAGCUGGGUUUAGAACGUCGUGAGACAGUUCGGUCCCUAUCUGCCGUGGGCGCUGGAGAACUGAGGGGGGCUGCUCCUAGUACGAGAGGACCGGAGUGGACGCAUCACUGGUGUUCGGGUUGUCAUGCCAAUGGCACUGCCCGGUAGCUAAAUGCGGAAGAGAUAAGUGCUGAAAGCAUCUAAGCACGAAACUUGCCCCGAGAUGAGUUCU